rnacentral:rRNA from 1 species
GACGGGGGGAGCAAGCGUUGUUCGGAAUCACUGGGCGUAAAGGGCGUGUAGGCGGUUUGGCAAGUGAAAUGUGAAAUCCCUCGGCUCACCCGAGGACCUGCAUCUCAAACUGCCGGACUAGAGUAUGGGAGAGGAUGAGGGAAUUCCUGGUGUAGCGGUGAAAUGCGUAGAUAUCAGGAGGAACACCGGUGGCGAAAGCGCUCAUCUGGCCCAAUACUGACGCUGAGGCGCGAAAGCUAGGGGAGCAAACGGG